rnacentral:tRNA from 1 species
GGAGUUGUAGCUCAGUGGUAGAGCACUUGCCUUGCACGUAUGAGGCAUGGGAUUUGAUCCUUAGCACCA